rnacentral:rRNA from 1 species
UACGUAGGGGGCAAGCGUUGUCCGGAAUCAUUGGGCGUAAAGCGCGUGUAGGCGGCUCGGAAAGUCGGGUGUGAAAGCCCUGGGCUCAACCUAGGAAGUGCACUCGAAACUUCCGAGCUGGAGUUCUGGAGAGGAAGGCGGAAUUCUCGGUGUAGCGGUGAAAUGCGCAGAUAUCAGGAGGAACACCGGUGGCGAAGGCGGGUCUCUGGGCCGAUACUGACGCUGAGGAGCGAAAGCGUGGGGAGCGAACAGG